GGACUACCGGGGUAUCUAAUCCUGUUUGCUCCCCACGCUUUCGCACCUCAGCGUCAGUACCGGACCAGUAAGCCGCCUUCGCCACUGGUGUUCUUCCUAAUAUCUACGAAUUCCACCUCUACACUAGGAGUUCCACUUACCUCUUCCGGACUCUAGAUUGCCAGUAUUAAAGGCAGUUCCAGGGUUGAGCCCUGGGAUUUCACCCCUAACUUAACAAUCCGCCUACGUGCGCUUUACGCCCAGUAAAUCCGAACAACGCUAGCCCCCUUCGUAUUACCGCGGCGGCUGGCAC
rnacentral:rRNA from 1 species